CCGCACAGCCGGGGAGUCAGCGGUGCCCUGUACCUGCAAGCCGCUAGAGCAGGGGUGAUGUUCUGCCCCGGGUGUUUCACUGUGAAGCUGCCCCUGGUAAGAGGCGUUGACGUUUUGGUCUUACGCAAUGGGAAUCUCUGAACCGUGUCAGGGCAGGAAUGCAGCAGCACUAAGGGGAACCUCUCAUGUGCCGUGAGGGAGCCGGAACUGAGCAGGCUGCCAGGGUAACGUUUAUGGUGGGCAUUCAAAGCAGAACGUGCGG
rfam:Clostridium sp. CAG:58 genomic scaffold, scf249